CGGGAAGAAGGGAGCGGGGCUGGACCCGGCGUCUGAGGUAGCGCCCCGGCGUCUGAGGUAGCGUCCCGGCCCCGGCCCUUCCUCGGGACCCCGCUGAGCUCCGCGCUCGGGGAGACGGCCCGGUGCCGGGGAUGAAGCGCAGGCGGAAAGGCGACGCGGCCCAGCAGGCCGAAGCGUGUGAUGUCUGGCUGGACACCGCCGAGCUGAAGCAGAACGCGGCGCAGCCUCCCGUAGCCAAACCAAAAGCACCUAGUCGAAUUCUGGAAAGGAAGCACGCCUCGGUUGCUUUCACGCAGACAAGAGCCUCUCAGCCACGCACUAAGCAAACAAUCAUCUCCACCUUCUUCAGCACUCAGACAGGUAACGGGGAACAGCGUAUGGCCCUGUAGGAAAGUAGUUUCAGGCCAUCACAGGAAAGCCAUCUUGCUUUAUUUCUUGGCAGCUUUACUAGGCAGAAAAGUGGAUUUUCUAGUGAAGAGGGUAAAGGUUAAAGGUUUGAAGUCCUAGAAAGGAUUGUAUUGUGAUGGUUAAUCUAAAUGCAGGCACCUUUUACAGUCUUAGACCAAGUAGCAGCAGUUGUAGCCAGUCUUUGCUGGAGAGCAAUGUGAACUGUAAAUAAUGCACCGGGCUUUACUCCCUGCAAAACUGAAGUUUUCAGUGGGAUGCUGGGACGCCUGGCUCAGCCUGAGUGCUGACACAAACCAUCCAGGUGGCAAAACGUCUAGUUCUGGGUUGCCUGAUGGUAUCACAUAAAGCACAAUACAGUCAGGAACACCACUUCAGCUGGGGCAGGGCACAGUCUGGGCAGGAGCACUGAGCCCGGCGGUGUCCUGUGAGCAGCUCUCCCUGCUCAGAGAAAGGGCAGCAUGCAGAGCAUUACGUGCCAGCUUUUUUCUAAACAAGGGCAACCCUAAAUUGUCAGUUAAAUGCUCUUGGAAGAACAUUAUAGCUGGAAGAGAAAAUUAAUGUUAUGUGGUUCAAACAACUUCCCUGUAAGGGGAAUCAGUGGGAGGUGAGUGAGGAAAGCUUUUUAUGAGGGGUUGGACAAAGCAUUUUCUGAAGAAUACAGUGUUUAAUCCUAACUGAACCAAUGAAGGAAACACAAGGGAACUGGAAUAUUUAAGCUAAUUAAGCCAGCUCACAACCUCUGUGCUUUUGAGGCUGCUUUUGUGCUCUGGAAUAGAAGAAGCUGGGAUUUGUUUGUGGGUCUCAAAUUAACAAAUAUAGAGAAAUGAAACAGAUGCAGGAACCAGCAGUGCAGGAUUGUGUAGUUUGUAUAUUGUAAAUUGUGUAAUGGCUAGCUUAUCAACAUUGAAAUAGUUUAGCAAUAAGGAGAUGAGAGGAAGCAUUACCUAAAUUGUACAAUUCAAUUAUUUGACAGGAUUUUUGUGUUGUGACAGGGCCAUUGAUGGUUUUUGCUUUGGAUUCGUUAUUCCUACUCCUUUUGAAUGUGUUGUGUGGUCUCCUCUUUUUGUCGUUUCAUUCCCUCGAUUGUGUUCACUUACUCACUGUGUGUGUUUGGAUUCACCAAAUGCUGCGGCUGUUUGUCAGAGAUCUGUAGGAUUUAAGAUGCUGGAGUAUUUCUUAUUUGUUUUUUGGUUGUUGUUGGUGUGUUUUUUUUUUAGCUUAUCCUGAAUUGAUGAGUUUGUAUAUAUUGAGGUUGUAUUGUUUUAUAUUAAAUGGUUUCAGAAGCAAACGUGGGACUUGAUGCCUUCCUCAGGUGAUGUAGGCAAGCUGUAGAAGUUUCACUGUGGAGUUUUGUGGGUUUUUUGUUGUUGUUUGUUUUGUUUGUUUUUUUUCUUUGUAACUAACUGUUGACCUGCUGCUUGUAAAGGCAAUGUCACAGGUGAACUGCCUGGUAAGCUGAGAGAAGGAAGGCAGAGAGGCCAAAAACUGGAGCAGCUGGAGAUGCAGUUCUUGCAUCUCCCUUAAGGGAAGCUCACUUAGUUGAACUACUCCAGUGUUUUAGGCUGCCAUUCUAUGGCAGGCUCAGCAGCACAAACACAGAUGACCGUGAGGCAGCAGCAGUGCUAGUCUGGUGUAGAAUAGUCUGUGUGGUGCUACUUGAAGGAGCAGUAAAGCAGCAGU
ensembl:lncRNA